AGAGUUUGAUCAUGGCUCAGAAUCAACGCUGGCGGCGGCUUAACACAUGCAAGUCGAACGAGAAAGGGGAGCAAUCCCUGAGUACAGUGGCGUACGGGUGAGUAACACGUGGAUAAUCUACCUCUUAGUGGGGAAUAUCUCUGGGAAACCGGAGUUAAUACCGCAUAAGCUCGAGAGAGGAAACGCGAAAGCGGCUGAGAGAGGAGUCCGCGGCCGAUUAGCUAGUUGGUAGGGUAACGGCCUACCAAGGCGUAGAUCGGUAGCCGGCCUGAGAGGGCACACGGCCACACUGGCACUGAAACACGGGCCAGACUCCUACGGGAGGCAGCAGUGGGGAAUCUUGCACAAUGGGGGAAACCCUGAUGCAGCGACGCCGCGUGAGCGAUGAAGCCCUUCGGGGUGUAAAGCUCUUUCGACGGGAACGAUAAUGACGGUACCCGGAGAAGAAGCUGCGGCUAACUACGUGCCAGCAGCCGCGGUAAUACGUAGGCAGCAAGCGUUGUUCGGAGUUACUGGGCGUAAAGAGUGCGUAGGCGGUUCUGUAAGUUUGUUGUGAAAUCUCCCGGCUUAACUGGGAGGGUGCGGCGAAAACUGCGGGACUGGAGUGUGGGAGAGGUAAGCGGAAUUCCUGGUGUAGCGGUGAAAUGCGUAGAUAUCAGGAGGAACCCGGCGGUGUAGACGGCUUACUGGACCAUGACUGACGCUGAGGCACGAAAGCGUGGGGAGCAAACAGGAUUAGAUACCCNNGUAGUCC
rnacentral:rRNA from 1 species